UCUAUCAAUCUUAGUGGCGAACGGGUGAGUAACGCGUAAUCAACCUGCCCUUCAGAGGGGGACAACAGUUGGAAACGACUGCUAAUACCGCAUACGAUCUAAUCUCGGCAUCGAGGAAAGAUGAAAGGUGGCCUCUAUUUAUAAGCUAUCACUGAAGGAGGGGAUUGCGUCUGAUUAGCUAGUUGGAGGGGUAACGGCCCACCAAGGCGAUGAUCAGUAGCCGGUCUGAGAGGAUGAACGGCCACAUUGGGACUGAGACACGGCCCAGACUCCUACGGGAGGCAGCAGUGGGGAAUCUUCCGCAAUGGACGAAAGUCUGACGGAGCAACGCCGCGUGAGUGAUGACGGCCUUCGGGUUGUAAAGCUCUGUUAAUCGGGACGAAAGGCCUUCUUGCGAACAG
rnacentral:rRNA from 1 species